rnacentral:rRNA from 1 species
AGCGAACGCUGGCGGCAGGCUUAACACAUGCAAGUCGAACGGGCACUUCGGUGCUAGUGGCAGACGGGUGAGUAACGCGUGGGAACGUGCCUUUCGGUUCGGAAUAAUCCAGGGAAACUUGGACUAAUACCGGAUACGCCCUUCGGGGGAAAGAUUUAUCGCCGAAAGAUCGGCCCGCGUCUGAUUAGCUAGUUGGUGAGGUAAAGGCUCACCAAGGCGACGAUCAGUAGCUGGUCUGAGAGGAUGAUCAGCCACAUUGGGACUGAGACACGGCCCAAACUCCUACGGGAGGCAGCAGUGGGGAAUAUUGGGCAAUGGGCGCAAGCCUGAUCCAGCCAUGCCGCGUGAGUGAUGAAGGCCUUAGGGUUGUAAAGCUCUUUUGUCCGGGAAGAUAAUGACUGUACCGGAAGAAUAAGCCCCGGCUAACUUCGUGCCAGCAGCCGCAGUAA